rnacentral:lncRNA from 1 species
CGCCGCCCCUCUCGGCGCCCCGGCCGCAGCCCAGGCACCCUGCUCACUGCCCCCUUUCCUCUUCCUGUCUGCUCUGCCCUAGAGUCAUCCCUCCUGACCGGACCACCACCCCAACCUCUAAGAGCCUGCCACGCUGGGCCGCUGGGCACUCCAGCAGGACCCAGAGAACGCCCUGCCCUCUCUGGCCUUGGCCUGGGGUCCUCCUGGGCACGCUUGUUUGGAGGGUCGUUCUUCUGGAGAGCCGGCUAUCCCCUGGCCUGAUCCUGAAGGAAGGAGGGGCCGGUCAGAACUGCGUCUUGGCCCAGAGACAUCCUUCGACCACGACCACCACCGGACUCUGGAAGGCGGGCUGGGGGGCAUGCAACAGGGAGGCCCUGGCAGGGGCCCACUGGGCUGAAGGCGAGCCGGCCUCCUCCGGGAACCUCGGCGGAGGUGGGGCUCCAGAUGUUCUGCACAUGCUUGGCCCUGGCUCCAGGCAGAGGAAUGUGGCUGCAGAGAGGUGCCAGGAGAGGCCCUGGGGGAGGGCCUGCAACCCACCCCCCUCGAAGGACCCAGACCUCCCAGGGAGGGGGUCCCAGAGGUCAAGGCCUCCACUGCCCCUGCCUCCAUCUCCUAGUGGGAAGCCACCACAUCCUGUGGCUGAAACUCCUCGCCACUCACUGUGCUCGAGAAGUCACUCAGCAGAUGUUUGCCGGGAUCCUUCUGAGGACCAGGCGCCCCAGACUGCAUGCACAGUGAGCGAAGGCAGUGUGUGGGGAGGACCCGCCGCAGGUCCAGGGAGGGGUGCCUCGCAAGGCACUGCAGACACACAGCAGGUGCAGGCCCCGGGCCUCCGGAGGAGUCCUGUUCAGGGGGCUGGCAUAUCACAAGCCCUGACCGCCUGACCCAACCGGACCUUUGUACUGGUGAUGCCCUUGCUUUUGCUUAUAGCUUUCCACCCCUCGAUGCAUCUCUAAAUAAUCUAUUGUGCUGUUUUUCCUGUUUUUUUGUUUUUGUUUUUUGACGUGCUGGAAUGCUCUUCUGGAAUUAGCUUCUUCCCCUGCCUUUGGAUUUUUGAGAUUCGUGAUGCUGACACGUGAAGCUCUGUCUUCUGGUACGAGUGUCGCAAACCUCACAUUUCAUAGUGAGUGUGUUCGUGGUUCUGGCGUCAGGCUGCUUUCACUAAGAUUGCUGCUACACACACUUGCACACGAGCCUUUCCCUGGGGAAGAGCUUAGGGGCGGGGGACCAGAGCACGUGUGCGUUCAGCGUCACCCGCCAACACGCCCGGUUUACAGCAAGGUGGCGCCACCUGGUGACCUCAAGGGCGCGCCACUGUUUUGGUUGCUGUUCUGCAACUCCUGGAUUUUUUUAAAAAAACACUAUUUAUUUGGCUGCGUCGGAUCUCAGUUGCAGCAUAUGAGACCGUCACUGUCUUGAGGGGUCUUCCACUGUGGCUCAUGGACUCCAGUUGAAGCAAGCGGGCUUCAGGAGCUGCGGUCCAUGGGCUUAGUUACCCCAAGGCGUGAGGGGUCUUUGUUCCCAAACCAGGGAUCAAGCCUGUGUACCCAGCAUCGCAGGGCAGAUUCUUAAGCAUUCAGCCACCAGGUCUCUCCAGGGAGGUCCCCCUGCAACUCUUGGAUUUUUGAGACGCUGGUGAGAAAGAAAUCUCUUUGAGCUUUUCAUGCUGUUUCGUCAGUUAGUAGAGAAGUUGAGUCUUUCCUGCGUUCCGUGAAGCACCCGUUUGAAUCUUGAGUUCGGUUUCCGGGGAUGGUUGUCUUUUCCUUGCUGAUUUGCACAGCUUGUAUGUACACUCUGGCCAUGAGUUCCUUGCAGUGAAAUCAUGGAAGCUCUUGACUGGUCCGACGUAUCCGUUUUCUGCUCUGUCCUUUGCACCUUUGGGGC